rnacentral:rRNA from 1 species
AUGGCCGGCCCACCGGCGAGCCCCUCCGGGGACGGCGGCAUCGGGGACGGGCGGGACGUGUUCGUGCCCGUCGCGGGUAUCACCCGCAUCAUGGGGAAGGUCAUCCUCCCAGACGGGAAGAUCGAUGAGGGGGCCGUACGGGAGCUGGCCUCCGAGUUCAUCACCCGCCGGGCGAGCAGCGAGAGCGACAGAUGCAAGAGGGCGAAGCGGGAGGCCAUGACCGUCGACGACCUGCUGUCCGAGAUGGCGAAGCAGGGGUUUCAGGACCACAUCGAACCCCUCAAGGCCUGCCUGCACAAGUACAGAGUGGAGCUACCUUGCACAAUGGAGGUGGAGCCAAACCCCUUGCCCAUAUCUGAUGUCAGGGAUUGGUCUGAGCUCCCACUUGAUGCGCUUUCUGCAAUCUUCAUGAAGCUUGGGACCAUUGAGAUUCUGAUGGGUGCGGGACUUGUGUGCCGCUCAUGGCUGGUGACAGCCAAGUCCCCUGAGUUGUGGCGCUUCGUGGACAUGACGCGACACAAGGUGGUUUUCUCAAAGGCAGAAAAUGUCAUGUGCAAAAUGGCAAAGGUGGCUAUAGAUCGUUCUGAUGGACGGAUGGAAUCGUUCUGGGCUCAGAAGUUUGUCACUAGCGAACUCCUGAAUUACAUUGCAAGCAGAUGCAACUCAUUGAAGAGCAUUCGGCUCAUCGGCGCCUAUUACUUUUGGGAUGAUGAGAACGUAAUAAUUAAGCUUGCAGCUAAAUGUCCAAUGCUAGAAGAGAUAGAGUACUCUGAUCAGAAGCAGUCAUGGUCCUUUUUCACGGCGAUCGGCGCAGCACGCCCAGAGCUGAAACGUCUAAGAGUCCGUUUGCCUUGGUUUGACUCGGAUUCAAUAGAGCGUGAGAUGAGGAUGGAACAGCGGAACGGCGAUGACGAAGACGAGGAGGAGGAGGAGGAGGAGUCUGAUGAGGCUUGGGAGGCAAUACACAACGAGGAGGCCUUCGCCAUAGCAGAGAGCUUGCAUGAGUUGCGGCUCCUUCAGAUGGCAGGCUACGGCCUGACCAACAAAGGGGUAUACGCCAUCCUCGAAGGCUGCCCCCACCUCGAGUUCCUCGACCUUAGAGAAUGCCUCCACAUCAUAGUUAACGCUGAACUCCGAGCUCGCUGUGCCAAUAUCAGGCAUGUCCGGCUGCCAGGACGGGAGCCUUAUGUUCGGUGCCCAGAGAUCCAAACCAUCGAGGCGGAUGAAGGUCAAGUGAUCGAGAUGGCUGGUCUCUAUGAGACGGAGGCUCGCUCUGUGCACAACGAGCCAGCAAUGGGCAAUGAUGACUAUGGCGAGAACUACUGCGACUGCUGGGAUGACUACUCGCUCCCCUCGUCCCCUGACUCGCCUGCCUUGCCGAUGUACUCGAUGGAUGAUCCCAGAUACUACUGGGAGCUGUAA